GACGUAGGAUGCGAGCGUUGUCCGGAUUUAUUGGGCGUAAAGAGUUCGUAGGUGGUUCGUUAAGUCUGGUGUAAAAGACUGGGGCUCAACCCUGGGAUCGCACUGGAUACUGGCGGACUGGAGUGUGGUAGAGGCAAGCGGAAUUCCCAGUGUAGCGGUGAAAUGCGUAGAUAUUGGGAAGAACACCGGUGGCGCAAGCGGCUUGCUGGGCCAUAACUGACACUGAGGAGCGAAAGCGUGGGGAGCGAACAGG
rnacentral:rRNA from 1 species